UACGGGAGGCAGCAGUGGGGAAUAUUGCACAAUGGGCGCAAGCCUGAUGCAGCCAUGCCGCGUGUAUGAAAAAGGCCUUCGGGUUGUAAAGUACUUUUCAGUCGUGAGGAAGGUGUUAAGGUUAAUAACCUUAGCAAUUGACGUUAGCGACAGAAGAAGCACCGGCUAACUCCGUGCCAGCAGCCGCGGUAAUACGGAGGGUGCGAGCGUUAAUCGGAAUUACUGGGCGUAAAGGGCACGCAGGCGGUUAAUUAAGUUGGAUGUGAAAUCCCCGGGCUUAACCUGGGAAUGGCAUUCAAGACUGGUUAGCUAGAGUCUUGUAGAGGGGGUAGAAUUCCAUGUGUAGCGGUGAAAUGCGUAGAGAUGUGGAGGAAUACCGGUGGCGAAGGCGGCCCCCUGGCAAAGACUGACGCUCAUGUGCGAAAGCGUGGGGAGCAAACAGGGAUUAGAUACC
rnacentral:rRNA from 1 species